rnacentral:rRNA from 1 species
UGGGGAAUAUUGCGCAAUGGGGGCAACCCUGACGCAGCGACGCCGCGUGAGUGAGGAAGGCCUUCGGGUCGUAAAGCUCUGUCAAAGGGAAAGAAGUGUGCAAUGGCUAAUACCUGUUGCAUUUGACGGUACCCUUAAAGGAAGCACCGGCUAACUCCGUGCCAGCAGCUGCGGUAAUACGGAGGGUGCAAGCAUUAAUCGGAAUUAUUGGGCGUAAAGGGCGCGUAGGCAGAAUUGUAAGUCAGAUGUGAAAUGUCACAGCUUAACUGUGUCGCUGCAUUUGAAACUACAUUUCUUGAGGGUAGACGGAGAGAAUGGAAUUCCACAAGUAGCGGUGGAAUGCGUAGAUAUGUGGAGGAACACCAGUGGCGAAGGCGACUCUCUGGUCUGUAACUGACGCUGAGGAGCGAAAGCGUGGGGAGCGAACA